GAUGAACGCUGGCGGCGUGCCUAAUACAUGCAAGUCGAGCGAACAGAUGAGGAGCUUGCUCCUCUGACGUUAGCGGCGGACGGGUGAGUAACACGUGGAUAACCUACCUAUAAGACUGGGAUAACUUCGGGAAACCGGAGCUAAUACCGGAUAAUAUAUUGAACCGCAUGGUUCAAUAGUGAAAGACGGUUUUGCUGUCACUUAUAGAUGGAUCCGCGCCGCAUUAGCUAGUUGGUAAGGUAACGGCUUACCAAGGCAACGAUGCGUAGCCGACCUGAGAGGGUGAUCGGCCACCCUGGAACUGAGACACGGUCCAGACUCCUACGGGAGGCAGCAGUAGGGAAUCUUCCGCAAUGGGCGAAAGCCUGACGGAGCAACGCCGCGUGAGUGAUGAAGGUCUUCGGAUCGUAAAACUCUGUUAUUAGGGAAGAACAAAUGUGUAAGUAACUAUGCACGUCUUGACGGUACCUAAUCAGAAAGUCACGGCUAACUACGUG
rnacentral:rRNA from 1 species